rnacentral:rRNA from 1 species
GACGAACGCUGGCGGCGUGCUUAACACAUGCAAGUCGAACGGAAAGGCCCUGCUUUUGUGGGGUGCUCGAGUGGCGAACGGGUGAGUAACACGUGAGUAACCUGCCCUUGACUUUGGGAUAACUUCAGGAAACUGGGGCUAAUACCGGAUAGGAGCUCCUGCUGCAUGGUGGGGGUUGGAAAGUUUCGGCGGUUGGGGAUGGACUCGCGGCUUAUCAGCUUGUUGGUGGGGUAGUGGCGUACCAAGGCUUUGACGGGUAGCCGGCCUGAGAGGGUGACCGGCCACAUGGGGACUGAGAUACGGCCCAGACUCCUACGGGAGGCAGCAGUGGGGAAUAUUGCACAAUGGGCGGAAGCCUGAUGCAGCAACGCCGCGUGCGGGAUGACGGCCUUCGGGUUGUAAACCGCUUUCGCCUGUGACGAAGCGUGAGUGACGGUAAUGGGUAAAGAAGCACCGGCUAACUACGUG